rnacentral:rRNA from 1 species
UACGUAGGUGGCAAGCGUUAUCCGGAAUUAUUGGGCGUAAAGCGCGCGCAGGCGGUUUCUUAAGUCUGAUGUGAAAGCCCACGGCUCAACCGUGGAGGGUCAUUGGAAACUGGGGAACUUGAGUGCAGAAGAGAAAAGCGGAAUUCCACGUGUAGCGGUGAAAUGCGUAGAUAUCAAGUGGAACACCAGUGGCGAAGGCGAAUCCCUGGACAACUUCUGACGCUGAGGCACGAAAGCUAGGGGAGCAAACAGG